GUCUGCAACCCGACUACANGAAGCUGGAAUCGCUAGUAAUCGCAAAUCAGAAUGUUGCGGUGAAUACGUUCCCGGGUCUUGUACACACCGCCCGUCACACCAUGGGAGUCGGAUAUGCCCGAAGCCAGUGACCUAACCGCAAGGAAGGAGCUGUCGAAGGUGGAGCCGAUAACUGGGGUGAAGUCGUAACAAGGUAGC
rnacentral:rRNA from 1 species